rnacentral:rRNA from 1 species
AUUGAACGCUGGCGGUAGGCCUAACACAUGCAAGUCGAGCGGAUGAAGGGAGCUUGCUCCUGGUUUCAGCGGCGGACGGGUGAGUAAUGCCUAGGAAUCUGCCUGGUAGUGUGGUAUAACGUCCUGAAACGGGCGCUAAUACGGCAUACGUCCUGAGGGAGAAAGUGUGGGAUCUUCGGACCUCACGCUAUCAGACGAGCCUAGGUCGGAUUAGCUAGUUGGUGGGGUAAAGGCCUACCAAGGCGACGAUCCGUAACUGGUCUGAGAGGAUGAUCAGUCACACUGGAACUGAGACACGGUCCAGACUCCUACGGGAGGCAGCAGUGGGGAAUAUUGGACAAUGGGCGAAAGCCUGAUCCAGCCAUGCCGCGUGUGUGAAGAAGGUCUUCGGAUUGUAAAGCACUUUAAGUUGGGAGGAAGGGCAGUAAGUUAAUACCUUGCUGUUUUGACGUUACCAACAGAAUAAGCACCGGCUAACUUCGUG